rnacentral:lncRNA from 1 species
AUAACCAAGUUCAUCAGUCACAUAGACAAUGGAAGUGAGGAAUGAUGCAGAAGCCCGGGAACAAAUAAUCUUCACAGGAGAUGAACUUGACACCUUUAGUAGGGGCAAUGUUAGUACAUCAAGACUUCACUCCUGUUGUUGCGAAAGUUGAAUGACUCCUGUGGACAUCAAGGGACCCAGCAGGUUCUCGGUGCUGUGAGGAGAGCUCGCAGCUAAGAAGAGGUUCCUAAUGGCUGGAGAUUUGGCUUAGCUGUCAAACGCACUUGUUCUUCUAGAGGACACAGGCUGGAUUCCUAACACCCACAUGGGUAACUGACAGCAUAUCUAAGUGCAGUUCUAGGGGAUCCAACACUCUGCUCUCUAUCAGAUAUAGAUUUGUGUGGGGGAACAUCUAAAGCAGUGUGUCAGGUAGAGAAUAUAAAAAUAUUGGGAUUGUUUUAACCUGAGCAGCUUUAAAUUCCUCCCAGUUACCAUGGGCAGCAUACAUCGCCAUAUUGGUCAGAAUUGAGAUGCAGAGAAAAAUUUUGCUGUGACAGACUAGGCUGUUGGCUAUCACAUGAUGAAGUAAAAGUUUCACAGUGCUGAGAAAGGGAAGGGGAUUAGUAAGAGAAAACUCAGAGCCUCUGACUCAUGGGUUUUUCUACCACAGGAGGCCAAAGGAUCUUGUUUCCAUUCUUGUCCCAUCAAUUAUCCCACCACCAGCAAAGGAACAGAAGAGGAAACGACACCAGCAGUUUCCAUGGUAAUCAGUUGAUGGAAUUAAAUCAAGCAGGAAACCUCUUCAGAAUGCAAAGUCAUCUUGCAAAACAGAGAGGCUUGAAAUAUCCAGGAAGUGUGUCAUGGCCAAAUGAAAGGAAUGGAGAUGUGAAUACCUCCAUAAUGUAAACUCCCCAACCCUAAAAUAAACACUCAAAAGCUAGCCUUUGUC